rnacentral:rRNA from 1 species
CCUACGGGUGGCAGCAGUGAGGACUAUUGGUCAAUGGACGAGAGUCUGAACCAGCCAAGUAGCGUGAAGGAUGACUGCACUAUGGGUUGUAAACUUCUUUUAUAUGGGAAUAACAUGUUCCACGUGUGGGAUUUUGUAUGUACCAUAUGAAUAAGGAUCGGCUACCUCCGUGCCAGCAGCCGCGGUAAUACGGAGGAUCCGAGCGUUCUCCGGCUUUAUUGGGUUUAAAGGGAGCGUAGGUGGAUUUUUAAGUCAGUUGUGAAAGGUUGCGGCUCAACCGUAAAAUUGCAGUGUAACCUGGAAGUCUUGAGUACAGUAGAGGUGGGCGGAAUGCGGGGUGUAGCGGUGAAACGCUUAGACAUCACGAAGAACUCCGAUUGCGAAGGCAGCUCACUGGACUGCAACUGACACUGAGGCUCGAAAGUGUGGGUAUCAAACAGGAUUAGAUACCCCAGUAGUC